rnacentral:rRNA from 1 species
UACAGAGGGGGCAAGCGUUGUUCGGAAUUACUGGGCGUAAAGGGCGCGUAGGCGGCCCGCUAAGUCGAACGUGAAAUCCCCGAGCUCAACUCGGGAACUGCGUCCGAUACUGGUGGGCUUGAAUCCGGGAGAGGGAUGCGGAAUUCCAGGUGUAGCGGUGAAAUGCGUAGAUAUCUGGAGGAACACCGGUGGCGAAGGCGGCAUCCUGGACCGGCAUUGACGCUGAGGCGCGAAAGCUAGGGUAGCAAACGGG